GAUGAACGCUGGCGGCGUGCCUAAUACAUGCAAGUCGAGCGAAUGGAUUGAGAGCUUGCUCUUAUGAAGUUAGCGGCGGACGGGUGAGUAACACGUGGGUAACCUGCCCAUAAGACUGGGAUAACUCCGGGAAACCGGGGCUAAUACCGGAUAACAUUUUGAACCGCAUGGUUCGAAAUUGAAAGGCGGCUUCGGCUGUCACUUAUGGAUGGACCCGCGUCGCAUUAGCUAGUUGGUGAGGUAACGGCUCACCAAGGCAACGAUGCGUAGCCGACCUGAGAGGGUGAUCGGCCACACUGGGACUGAGACACGGCCCAGACUCCUACGGGAGGCAGCAGUAGGGAAUCUUCCGCAAUGGACGAAAGUCUGACGGAGCAACGCCGCGUGAGUGAUGAAGGCUCUCGGGUCGUAAAACUCUGUUGUUAGAGAAGAACAAGUGCUAGUUGAAUAAGCUGGCACCUUGACGGUACCUAACCAGAAAGCCACGGCUAACUACGUGCCAGCCGCCGCGGUAA
rnacentral:rRNA from 1 species